CCCGGGCCCAUUUCGGCGCGGCGCCGCCCGGGCCCAUUUCGGCGCGGCGCCGCCCGGGCCCAUUUCGGCGCGGCGCCGCCCGGGCCCAUUUGUCAUGUGGAGCUACAGAGCAGUCUCCUGGAGAGUUUCAGCAGCUUGAUUACAUGCUACAUGUGGCUUGACAGCGUAGAUGCAGCAUUGCCAAGAGACUGAGCAGGGUUGUAUCAGAGUCACCUUUUCAUCUGCAAGGGGUGCUUGGUUCAGUUGUGGAGAGGGAAGGGAAAUUGUCAUGUCAGGAAGCUCUGA